UCCGACUUAACGUCGGUAGUCUCGCCAGAGUGCUCAGCUUGCCUGUUAGCAACUGACGACAGAGGUUGCGCUCGUUGCGGGACUUAACCCAACAUCUCGCGACACGAGCUGACGACAGCCAUGCAGCACCGUCUCACCGAUUCCCCGAACUGAAAGGCUCCAUCUCUGGUGCCCGCGAUCGGGAUGUCAAAGGUUGGUAAGGUUCUGCGCGUUGCUUCGAAUUGAACCACAUGCUCCACCGCUUGUGCGGGCCCCCGUCAAUUCCUUUGAGUUUUAAUCUUGCGACCGUACUCCCCAGGCGGGAUGCUUAAUGCGUUAGCUGCGCCACUGACAGGCAAGCCUGCCAACGGCUAGCAUCCAUCGUUUACGGCGUGGACUAC
rnacentral:misc_RNA from 1 species